CGAAGUGCAGACCUAGGACCGAGACUCCAUGGUUGAGUGCUCCAAGCUUGCAUCUUGCCAUACACUUACUUUUAGACUUAGCUUCCUUCACCAAAAAUAAUCCUUGCGCCUUUAGGAACUUAACCUUGGUUUUUGUUCAUCCAAAGAAGCUAUAUUUUGUAAGAUUUCUUCACUAAUCAGCCACUAUUACUAUUUAUCUUCUUGGAGUUAUGAUGGCUGUUUGGAUGGUUUAAAGUAUGGAGAAUCAUCUUUAGGUGAUUUAGAACCCAUUGGAGGUUGGAGACAAGAGACCUAAUGCUUGGAAGUCAGAUUUUGGGAAGUUUUGGAUAAAUUUUUUGAAGUGCAAGUAAGCUUGGUUCGAGAACUUCAAGAUGAAGUGAACUCAUGAGUGGAGACUACUUCAUAAACCCAGAGUUUACUGAGAUUGUUAAUCUCACCCCGUUUGGGGAUAUAUUUCAGGUACUCCAGCAGUAGGAGAGCCCUCACAGGGCAAGAUGCCUGUAUAAGGUUGUUAGAAGACCAGCUGAAGUAGACUUUUUACGAUAUUUUGGAUAACUGUAUCGAUAUUUUGUAGCAUGACAUAUGAUCAUGCAUAUGUAUAGUCUUAUGUUUGUAUCUGUGAGAUAUAUUGUAUACAUUUAUCUAUUUCUAAUUCUGGCAUGUAUAAGUAUGUUU